UAUACAGUCUACCACUGUUACGUCUUCAUCUGUAAUAAAUGAGCUUACAUAUCAAGCAUAUCGCGUAUAUAGAUCCCAGCAUACUGGACCCUCAGGUAAUACCUCGUUUAAACGAUGGGUCCAGUUAGGAGGGAAAGACAAUGAUUGGUUUCAAUGGCCGUAUCAUCCUCCUAACAGGGGUGCUGGGAGCUACAGGAGAGGGGGAGUUCAUGGUCUCUGGGAGCUACAGGAGGGGCAGAGGUCAUGGCAGCAGAGAAGACCAAGAGGGAAGAUGAAUUGGUGGAAGCCUUGUGGUCCAUGGUGAUUAUUACAAUUAGGG
rnacentral:lncRNA from 1 species